UAAGGAAUAUUGSUCAAUGGACGAGAGUCUGAACCAGCCAUGCCGCGUGCAGGAUGACUGCCCUAUGGGUUGUAAACUGCUUUUAUAUAGGAAGAAAAACUUUCUCGUGAGAAAGCUUGACGGUACUAUAAGAAUAAGGAUCGGCUAACUCCGUG
rnacentral:rRNA from 1 species